UCCGGUCCUCGGUAGUGGCCCCCGGACCGCCGCACGGCGCGCCGAGGGCCUCGAUCGAAGACCGCC
rfam:Cellulomonas sp. 73-145 SCNpilot_cont_500_bf_scaffold_28, whole genome shotgun sequence.